GAAACAUUCAGAGGAAACGAAACGAAACUCCAACCAGUCCGCAGCCCUCUCUCAGGACUGCCUUCUGCGUCCGACAGCGACAACAAGGCUCGCUCUCGGGUCCCGAGGGCGCAGGGUUUCUCCCUCCUACAAAGCACGCUCACUGUCGGACUUCCUCUUUGCUCCCAAACCUUCUGCGGUUCCGCAGAGCAGCAAAUGUCCGAGGCAAGCGGGCAACAAGGAAGGAAAAAGGCUGUUCAAGUAAAGGCUAAAACGUGAGACGUCUUCGGACCAGAUUCCUUUCUUAUAGCCCAAUGGUCUACACUUGCUUCUCAUGAGAAGCACAAGUCUAAGGAGAAACACACAACAGCAAUUCAUUGGACACUCUGUACAACACAUGAUAGGUAGAAUCCAGUGGGGGCAUUGCUGGCAGAUGAUGGCAUAUAUCACAGAAGAAAAGCAUGUGAAGGUGCCUAUAAUCUUGUGUAUGUUGGGGCCUGUGAUGAUGCUGUUGGUGUCGAUAUGGGGGCAAAGUAGAAGUCAGGGUUUGUGCAUCCGUCAAGCCACUCCAUGCAACUGAUGAAGUGAGUUGCAGCUCACAAAAGAUUAUGCCUUUUAAUAAAAUUACUCAGACUCCUGAUUUUUUGCUACCACAGACUACUAUGGCUCUCCUCCCACAAUGCCUACAAUUCAGACAGGAAAAGAAAAUGCUUCUAGAAUCUAAGCCAAAAUGAAUAUAUGCAGUACAAAGCAAUACUUGAACAUCAUCUAGCAACAUUUGGAUCCUCUGAACCAGUCUCAGAUAUUUUGACCAGCAUAUGGAGUUUUCAGCAUCUACUGCCCUCCCCAUUAAUUUCAGUGUCAGAGAUGUUGUGGUGAAUGGAAAUGCUGUUUCACGCACAAGGACUCGCCCUGUUCAUUAAGCAAGAAUUCUCAGGACCAGGUUGGGUGAGGUUUCCUCCUACAAGCUGUUGCAAUGCUCAUUUCUGGAACAUGCACAAACCUCAGAGACCAGUUUUGUCCAGAAAUGCCUUCUCCAUUCCUGGUAUGUCUGAACCAGAGAAGAUCCAACCCUUCCCAUAUUCUUAGAAAUACAAGCAUCAAAGUGACUGAUGUGGUGAGACAGUUUGCUGAGAAAGGUAUUCCUCUGUCUCUGACAGUUCAACAGGAAAUGAGGAUGCAGUUAGAGCUUCUUGUGACCCAUACACAAACUCUUCCUCCAGCCAAACAAAAGUGUGUCCUAUUGCUUCUUAGCAGGUGGGGAAGGGAGAAUGGGUGGAGUGAUUGGUGUUGGAGGGAGAAGCUCAUACAUCAUGCUAGGAUCUCAUUAUAAUCUUAUGGCAGACAUCUCAUUUUAUACAGAGAAUAAAGUAACAUAAAAUUACUUUCAAUUUUUUUAUUGCAACAUGGGCUUUGGUGGGCCUUUGCUACCAUGACUGCAAUAUAAGCAUAUUGUUUUUUAAUUUGAUUUUAAUUUUUUAAAAGCAUAAAAUCUGAUCCUAUGAAGCCUAGAAGGCAUCUGGGCUGAGGAACAUUGUAUGAAAAUGACAAUGCUGCAUCUUCUGCUGCUGCUCAUUUGCUGUCUUCUUAGCACUCUUUCAAAACAUGCUUACAGUUUUGUCACAACUGUCUGGACAGCAGCAAAUUAGCUAACGUCAAACUCAGUAGAUGGUAGAGACAGGCCUGCUUUUGAUUCGUAUUUACCCUCGUGGUGUUCAUUUGUUUUUAUUAAAGCUAAUUUCAUUCAUAAAGUAUUACAAGGAGUGCAUUGCUUCACUAAAAGUUGUCAAACAGUGGAGUCAGCACAACUUAACAGUGGCAUUUAGCAGAGUUUUCUGCGCUGAGGCUGGGCUCCUGUUAUAGUUCAUCUGCAAAGCUUAGAGGACUAAAUUUUCAAGCAUAGCCAAAGUGCCAGGGUUCCAGAACAACAGCUCAAAAUAUCACUGUUGUCAGUUGUAGCACUGGAGACACGGCCUUUAAAAUACCGUAGAUAGCAAAAACAGAACAAGUGCCUGAAUUAACCUAGGAGGUUGUCAUCAUACAUACAAUGAAAGGGUAAGUGAAAUAUAUAUUGCUGCAGUUCCUUUUUGCCCCUUAUUGUUACAGAACGUUUUCUGCACAAUUGACUAAACAGGAAAAAUCUGAUGUUACUUUCACAGCCUUCAGAGUUAACUUUGAAAGAAACUCUGUUCAUUUAUUUUAAAGAAGUGAUACAGCCUUGUCAAAAGAUCACUGAGGAAGACACGGAUAGUUGAAAUGCAUUGGGGAAAUGUGCAUAUUAAUAUGUUAUACAUUAUAAUUACAUCAAUUGUUACAGAA